rnacentral:tRNA from 1 species
GUUAAUGUAGCUUAAAAACCAAAGCAAGGCACUGAAAAUGCCUAGACGAGUAUAUACUACUCCAUGAACA